rnacentral:rRNA from 1 species
UACGAAGGGGGCUAGCGUUGCUCGGAAUCAUUGGGCGUAAAGCGCGUGUAGGCGGCUUGGCAAGUCGGGUGUGAAAUCCCGGGGCUCAACCCCGGAACUGCAUUCGAUACUGCCUCGCUAGAGUCCCGGAGAGGAGGGCGGAAUUCCCGGUGUAGAGGUGAAAUUCGUAGAUAUCGGGAGGAACACCAGUGGCGAAGGCGGCCCUCUGGACGGUGACUGACGCUGAGAUGCGAAAGCGUGGGGAGCGAAACAGG